rnacentral:lncRNA from 1 species
AAGGAGGCCUCGUAUAAAUUAAAAAAAAUAAAUCAUUUCUAUUAUACAUAAAAAUAUAGACUGCUGGUCCCAUAAGUCCUAGCUCAACUGACAAAAUGCCGAAAUUGUUACGCUGGACGUCGUGACCCAGGUUCGAAUCCGGGAUCUCACAAUUAUACGUGAGUUUAAUUUCAGUGGAUUAUCACUUCAUCUACGACAAAAAAA